rnacentral:rRNA from 1 species
GACGGAGGGUGCUAGCGUUGUUCGGAAUCACUGGGCGUAAAGGGCGCGUAGGCGGCCUCAGGUGUCGGAUGUGAAAGCCCGGGGCUCAACCCCGGAGGUGCAUCCGAAACUCUGGGGCUGGAGGUCGGAAGAGGAGGGUGGAAUACCCAGUGUAGAGGUGAAAUUCGUAGAUAUUGGGUGGAACACCGGUGGCGAAAGCGGCUCUCUGGUCCGGACCUGACGCUGAGGCGCGAAAGCGUGUGGAGCAAACAGG